UGAGAGACGCAGUGUGAGAGAGACGGAAGUGUCUAUUGCAUUGUUUCCUUAUUUUCUUUUUUAAUUUAUUUUAAACAGAAUAAGUCUUUUUGAAACUAUUAAGAUUUUUGUUUAAACUUCCUAAAUUUUAGUUAAUAAAUGUUUACACAUUUUCAAUUCAUAUUCCAUUGAAAAACCCAACAGCCAGGCGGCUAGGGUAUCUUUCCUUGUUUUCUCCCAUUUGGUAGUCCAACAGACUACUUCCUUUUAGUUUCUAUUUU
rnacentral:lncRNA from 1 species